rnacentral:lncRNA from 1 species
AGGCAUCAGUGGCCUUUUUUCAGGACGAUAGUUAGGUUGCAUCAUGACACUCAGUGUGUGUGAGAGAACACAUAGACGAGUUACUCUGCUAGGAAAGUGCAUACAAUGCAAGCCAGGAAAUGAUGAAGCAAAAUGCAGUUCAAGGGCAUUUCAGGAUUAUUGAGCGGGAUCAGGAACCCACAAUGCCCCAUAACUUAAUCUUCCUCUGCUCUGACCAGUCUUGUUGGCUUCGGAGUUCCAUCGAAGCUGGACUGUGCGUUAUACAAUGUUGGAAGAACCCAGCAUGCCGGUGUCAGCAGGUCACAGCGCCUCGAUCGACAGGAAUAGUAGCCGUGGCCAGGGAUGCCAACGUCUAGGGUUUUAGCAGAAAUGAGAGGUAACCCUCUCUUGAUACCAUGAAAGCGUUUCUACAGGAUGCUAAGCAACACAAUGGAUUCAUGCAUGAAUAUUCCUUGGGCUUCAAUGAGCAUCGAGGCAUGACUUAUCCUUGAGGUCAGGUUUUCUUAACUCAGCAUCGGUGGCCUCAACAGUUAAAUCGACGUUUUAUCCAUCUCUUUCCUAUUGAAGAAUCGUUUUAUCCUGCAUUGUGGCUGCUCUAAAAGACCGGGGAGAAGAGGACCCUACACUACUAGUGUUAUGACAGGUUACUACCCAAGAAUGUCAUGAAUAUUAAUUAUCCACGACAUGAAGACCAUGGUUUCCCUUCUGGGGAAUAAAUACAGGUUUC